rnacentral:rRNA from 1 species
GAUGAACGCUGGCGGCGUGCUUAACACAUGCAAGUCGAACGGUGAAGCCAAGCUUGCUUGGUGGAUCAGUGGCGAACGGGGGAGUAACACGUGAGCAACCUGCCCUGGACUCUGGGAUAAGCGCUGGAAACGGCGUCUAAUACUGGAUAUGAGCCUCUUCCGCAUGUUGGGGGGUGGAAAGAUUUUUUGGUCUGGGAUGGGCUCGCGGCCUAUCAGCUUGUUGGUGAGGUAAUGGCUCACCAAGGCGUCGACGGGUAGCCGGCCUGAGAGGGUGACCGGCCACACUGGGACUGAGACACGGCCCAGACUCCUACGGGAGGCAGCAGUGGGGAAUAUUGCACAAUGGGCGAAAGCCUGAUGCAGCAACGCCGCGUGAGGGAUGACGGCCUUCGGGUUGUAAACCUCUUUUAGCAGGGAAGAAGCGAAAGUGACGGUACCUGCAGAAAAAGCGCCGGCUAACUACGUG